rnacentral:rRNA from 1 species
UACAGAGGGGGCAAGCGUUGUUCGGAAUUACUGGGCGUAAAGGGCGCGUAGGCGGCCGCCUAAGUCAGACGUGAAAUCCCUCGGCUUAACCGGGGAACUGCGUCUGAUACUGGAUGGCUUGAAUCCGGGAGAGGGAUGCGGAAUUCCAGGUGUAGCGGUGAAAUGCGUAGAUAUCUGGAGGAACACCGGUGGCGAAGGCGGCAUCCUGGACCGGCAUUGACGCUGAGGAGCGAAAGCCAGGGGAGCAAACGGG